CCUACGGGUGGCUGCAGUGGGGAAUAUUGGACAAUGGGGGGAACCCUGAUCCAGCCAUGCCGCGUGUGUGAAGAAGGCCCUCGGGUUGUAAAGCACUUUCAGUGAGGAAGAACGCCUGGUGGUUAAUACCCAUCAGGAAAGACAUCACUCACAGAAGAAGCACCGGCUAACUCCGUGCCAGCAGCCGCGGUAAUACGGAGGGUGCGAGCGUUAAUCGGAAUUACUGGGCGUAAAGCGCGCGUAGGUGGCUUGAUAAGCCGGUUGUGAAAGCCCCGGGCUCAACCUGGGAACGGCAUCCGGAACUGUCAAGCUAGAGUGCAGGAGAGGAAGGUAGAAUUCCCGGUGUAGCGGUGAAAUGCGUAGAGAUCGGGAGGAAUACCAGUGGCGAAGGCGACCUUCUGGACUGACACUGACACUGAGGUGCGAAAGCGUGGGUAGCAAACAGGAUUAGAUACCCCUGUAGUC
rnacentral:rRNA from 1 species